ACGCGUUGGGAGCUCUCCCAUAUGGUCGACCUGCAGGCGGCCGCGAAUUCACUAGUGAUUCUGCCCUUCCUCCCAACUUAAAGUGCUUUACAAUCCGAAGACCUUCUUCACACACGCGGCAUGGCUGGAUCAGGCUUUCGCCCAUUGUCCAAUAUUCCCCACUGCUGCCUCCCGUAGGAGUCUGGACCGUGUCUCAGUUCCAGUGUGACUGAUCAUCCUCUCAGACCAGUUACGGAUCGUCGCCUUGGUGAGCCAUUACCCCACCAACUAGCUAAUCCGACCUAGGCUCAUCUGAUAGCGCAAGGCCCGAAGGUCCCCUGCUUUCUCCCGUAGGACGUAUGCGGUAUUAGCGUCCGUUUCCGAACGUUAUCCCCCACUACCAGGCAGAUUCCUAGGCAUUACUCACCCGUCCGCCGCUCUCAAGAGAAGCAAGCUUCUCUCUACCGCUCGACUUGCAUGUGUUAGGCCUGCCGCCAGCGUUCAAUCUGAGCCAUGAUCAAACACUAAUCGAAUUCCCGCGGCCGCC
rnacentral:rRNA from 1 species